CGGGGCGUAGCUCAGCCUGGUUAGAGCGCCGCGUUUGGGACGCGGAGGUCGCCGGUUCAAAUCCGGCCGCCCCGA
rnacentral:tRNA from 1 species